GACGAACGCUGGCGGCGUGCUUAACACAUGCAAGUCGAACGGAAAGGCCUGCUUUCCCUUGUGGAUUGCGGGUACUCGAGUGGCGAACGGGUGAGUAACACGUGAGUGAUCUGCCCCCAACUUGGGUAUAAGCCUGGGAAACUGGGUCUAAUUCCCGAUAGGACUGCAGGGUGGUGCCUGUGGUGGAAAACGAUUUUCUAGUGGUUGGGGAUGAGCUCGCGGCCUAUCAGCUUGUUGGUGGGGCAAUGGCCUACCAAGGCGGCGACGGGUAGCCGGCCUGGGAGGGUGGACGGCCACAUUGGGACUGAGAUACGGCCCAGACGCCUACGGGAGGAAGCAGUGGGGAAUAUUGAACAAUGGGCGGAAGCCUGAUGCAGCGACGCCGCGUGGGGGAUGACGGCCUUCGGGUUGUAAACUCCUUUCGACCGCGAGGAAGCCACCUGGUUGGAAGGGUGGUGACGGUAGUGGUAGAAGAAGCACCGGCUAACUACGUG
rnacentral:rRNA from 1 species